GCCGGGCGCGGUGGCGCACGCCUGUAGUCCCAGCUACUCGGGAGGCUGAGCUCGCCGGAUCGCUUGAGCCCAGGAGUUCUGGGCUGCAGUGCGCUAUGCCGAGCGGGCGUCCGCGCUAAGGCCGGCAUCAAUAUGGUGAGCCUCGGGGAGCCGGGGCACACCAGGUUGCCUAAGGAGGGGUGAACCGGCCCAGGUCGGAAACGGAGCAGGUCAAAACUCCCGUGCCGGUCAGUAGCGGGAUCGCGCCUGUGAAUAGCCACUGCAGCGUAGCCUGGGCAACACAGAGAGACGCGGGUUCCU
rfam:Callipepla squamata strain Texas jcf7180005234202, whole genome shotgun sequence.